rnacentral:lncRNA from 1 species
GGCUUCUUAAAACAAGCUGCACUGACUGUGAAUUGUGGAAAAAUGGUCUUAUUCUCUAUUUUAAUUAUUUUAGCCUGUCUGCAUGUCCACAGUGUAAGGAGUGCUAUCGGUUCCUCGCAGAUAAACUGUGCAACUGGAACUAAUAUUAAUGUAGGGAGCGUCCUGGAGGGAUAUGAAGGUGAUGUAGAGAUUCUCACUAAUAUCGGACCUAAUGAUCGUCUGCUUCUGGAGGCAUAUCUCUUUCCUAUUGGUUUGGAAUUUCUGGAGCUGAUUUAUUCUGAUGGAGAUUCGACCGCUACUGUACGGACCAAAAAACCACUGGACGCUGAUGAACUAAAGGAGGUUUGUUCCAGCCUCACUGAUUCAUUGAGUUGGUAGAGUCUCAGCUACGACCGCUA